rnacentral:rRNA from 1 species
UACGUAGGGGGCAAGCGUUGUCCGGAUUUAUUGGGCGUAAAGAGCUCGUAGGCGGUUUCGUAAGUCGAGUGUGAAAAAUCUGGGCUCAACCCAGUGGAGCACUCGAUACUGCGAUGACUAGAGUACGGUAGAGGAGUGUGGAAUUCCUGGUGUAGCGGUGAAAUGCGCAGAUAUCAGGAGGAACACCAGCGGCGAAGGCGGCGCUCUGGGCCGGUACUGACACUGAGGAGCGAAAGCGUGGGUAGCAAACAGG